UACAGAGGUCCCAAGCGUUGUUCGGAUUCACUGGGCGUAAAGGGUGCGUAGGUGGUCGGGUAAGUCUGAUGUGAAAUCUCCAAGCUCAACUUGGAAACUGCAUCGGAUACUAUUCGGCUGGAGGGUUGGAGGGGACUGGAAUGCUUGGUGUAGCAGUGAAAUGCGUAGAUAUCAAGCGGAACACCAGUGGCGAAGGCGAGUCCCUGGACAACUCCUGACACUGAGGCACGAAAGCUAGGGGAGCAAACAGG
rnacentral:rRNA from 1 species